rnacentral:tRNA from 1 species
AGGAUAAUAGUUUUAUAACGUUUAAGUUGCAUUUAAAAAAUAUUGGAUACCCAAUUUAUCUUU